rnacentral:rRNA from 1 species
GACAGAGGUGCCAAGCGUUAGGCGGAAUCACUGGGCUUAAAGCGUGUGUAGGUGGAUGCCUAAGUGCCUUGUGAAAUCCCGACGGCUCAACCGUGGAAUUGCUGGGCAUACUGGGUGUCUUGAGCCAUCCAGGGGUCGCUGGAACAAACGGUGGAGCGGUGAAAUGCGUAGAUAUCGUUGGAACGCCAAUGGUGAAAACAGGCGACUGGGGAUGAGCUGACACUGAGACACGAAAGCCAGGGAGGCAAACGGG